UGUAAAAGCUAGUGUCUCGUGAGAAUACCCCUUAACGAGAGUACACGAGACCUUUCAUGGACUGCGAGGGAGCAGAUGUCUCUCAUGAAGCGAUUUUAAGCUAAAAGGUUUACUAAAAGAAAAGGUAACACAAAGACUUAAGGACCUCUUUUCAGGACAAGCAGCCAACGAGUUCUCACGGCGUAAAGGCGUAAUGGCGUAUCGGCGUACUGGUGAUGGUGAAGCUGAGGAGAGAAAGCUCAAGUAAUAAACGCCCGUUUCAAA